UACAGAGGGUGCGAACGUUGCUCGGAAUUACUGGGCGUAAAGCGCGUGUAGGCGGAACGGAAAGUCAGAUGUGAAAUCCCCGAGCUCAACUCGGGAACUGCACCUGAAACUUCCGGUCUUGAGUACCGGAGAGGGUGGCGGAAUUCCUGGUGUAGAGGUGAAAUUCGUAGAUAUCAGGAGGAACACCGGUGGCGAAGGCGGCCACCUGGACGGUUACUGACGCUGAGACGCGAAAGCGUGGGGAGCAAACAGG
rnacentral:rRNA from 1 species